rnacentral:lncRNA from 1 species
UUAUUAUUUGUCAAAACUGUGUUGCUCAUUGUGUUUUUUAAGAAUUUUAUGUUUUAUCCUUGAUGUAAUUUUAUUCCUUAUCACAACCAUAUCUUGCUAGUAAUACUAGUUUUAUGUAUUUAGAAACAAUCCCAUAAUCACAAGAAUUUGUCUCUUUAGAAUUUGCUGUCCAUAUUUCCUAAAAUAACCAGUAAGGCUCAUGUAUGUGUAGGUCCAAUGACCUAAUUAAUUGAUACAAAAAAGUACAAUAUUAUUCCUUCUAACUUUGGGAUGAUACUAGUGUUAAAACUACAGAGGGAUCAUAACAUAGUUAAUAAAGUAGAACAAUUAAUAGGCAGGAAAUAUAAGGUUUCAUUGCAGUUUUCAACACGUAACUAUAAAACCAACUUUAUAUACAAACUCCUAAGCCAAAGUUAUACACAAAACAACUAUUCUAAAAGGAACUAAACUUCGCCCACAUCACCAUCUAAAGCUUGCUCAAUCGGGACAUCAUCACCCUCUGCUCAUACUCACUAGAUAAUCAUAGCUGAUGCACGAACAAACCAUACAAUACAAGCACAAAGAAAACAAGCAGGGUAAGCUAGUGUAAUCAGAAUUAUCCUAAAACAAUUAUUACGUCAACACAAAACACAAUUCUAAUCCAACUAAUCACACAUGCCAUUCAUUUAAUCAACUUAGACUUGACUCAUCCGCAUAUAGUAUGGAUGUCGAACUAUGGUAGUUUAUGCACUUGUAGUGAUAAUACUGAUGGCCCACCCUAGGCUACCACAAAAUGUUAGUCCUUUAGUAAUGCUUUUGACAAAGGUAAAACCCUUAGACACUAUCUUUGGCCAAGGUAAAGCUCUUAGACUCUCACCACAUGCCUCAGCCUUCUCUACUUGAGAAUGGAUGAUCAUUAGAGUGUAGAAUAAAAUCUAGUACAAAGCUCCAUACAUGCAUACGCACAACACUUGGUAACCAUCAAUAAAAAGUUCCUUCUUGGAACUCUUUUCCACAACUUUUCAUUCAGAGAUAAAAUCAUAUAAACAUCGCAUACUCAAAGUAUUUCAAGUAUAAAAAAAUCAUUUAUAAUAAUAAUCACACAAUAACACAAUUUUCUUCAUAGUAGCUUGAUACCAACCCUAGGCAAGUAAAACAACUUGGAAACCCUCACCAACAACUCCAGAAGGGUUCAAAACCUCCAAAACGACCUAAAGAAGUGAUAUCCAGAACCCUGAGUUUGAGAUCCCAAACCACAUAGUCAUUGCCAGAAAACUCGUACCACCAGCCGACUCCUUACCAGCCGACUCCUUAUCAGCCGACUCCUUACCAGCCGACUUCUUACCAGUCGACUCCUUACGAGACGACUCUUUACCAGACGACUCUUUACCAGACGACUCCUUACCAGACAACUCCUUUCCAGAUAAAUCCUCACCAAAAGACUCCUUCCCAGACGACUCCUUCCUAGAUGACUCCUCACCAGACGACUCCUUACUAGAUGACUUCUCCCCAAACGAUCUACUAGAUUUUUAGUACUAUAAAAGACCAACUAAGCCGUAAAUGGCCCCAAGACAGUUCCCAAAACUGUAGACUUUCCCCAAAAUCAUGAUCUUAAAAUUUUUCCUUUCAAAACCCCCAUUUUAUGCCCAAUUUCACCCUCCUUCUAAUUUAUUCUAAAUCCAAGUUCUGUAAAAAUAAAUUAGCUCAAAAUCACUAAAUCUACAUUCUCAAAUUUUUCAAUAAACAACUUUUCACAUCAGCAAACCAACUACACACCAACAUGCAUAAGUUUUCAAUUCAACACCCCAUAUCAUCAUACAAACAUCAAAUAUUACAUGUAUAUCAAAUCCAAACCAAAUAAACUAGCUUCCCUUACCUUGUUGAAACGGUUCUAAGAACUCUAAAAUUCUUCCUAGGUAGUCUUUAAUCUUCCUAGAAUUUCUAGAGAGAAGGCAGAGGAAGUUUUAAAGAAGGAAGUUUUAGAGAGAUAAAGUUUCUUAGAUAAUGAAACUCUUGAUUAGUAAAUUCUAUUUAUACUAUUGAUAUUUUUUAAAUAAAAUAAUGGAGUAUCAUUAUUUAAAACAUUCUACUACAUGUAAUACUCUAUUUUUUAGUGUCUUACAGGUAGCCUUUGAAUGUAUGUAAACCCUUGCAUGCACCCUUGCAUGUAUGUAAACCCUUACACAACCUUUCACCUUAGCCUUCAUCGAUGGGCAACCUUGUGCCUUUGCCUUCGUUGUUGUGCAACCUUGUGUCUUAGCCUUCAUUACUGCAUGACCUUGAGCCUUAUUGCAGCCUUUGUUGUUGUACAAUCCACCCUACCUUGUUCACACCC